rnacentral:lncRNA from 1 species
GCAUAUGGAGGGUCUCAAGCCAAGGGCUGAAUCCAAGCCAGAGCCAUGACCUAUGCCACAGCUGUAGCAACUCUGGAUCCUUAACCCACUGUACCAGACCAGGGAUCGAACUGGUGCCUCCACAAAGACAAGUUGGAUCAUUAAUCUGUUCUGCCACAGCGGGAACUCCUAUUUCUUUUUGUUAUUAUAAAUGAAAUUGUUUUCUUGUUUGGGUCCCCCACCACCACCCAUGGCAUGCAGAAGUUCCUGGCCCAGGGAUCAAACCCAUGCCACAGCUCUAACCAGAGCCACAGCAGUGACAGUGCCAGAUCCUUAACCCACUGAGUCACAAGGGAAGUCCUGAAGUUGUUUUUUCUUAAUUUCAUUUUUGGAUUGUUCAUUGCCAGUGUGUAGAAAAAGAACUGGCUUUUCUGUACUGACUUUGUAUCAAUACAAUCUUGUUGAACUCAUUUAUUAGUUCUAAUGAUUCUUUAGUGGAUUCCUUAGGACUUCCCAUAUGUAAGUUCAUGUGAAUAGAGAUGAUUUUACUUUCUCCUCUCCAAUCUGGUUGUGUUUUAAAAUAUUAGAACAUCUUUAUACAUUGGGUUCCAGGAGGGGUUCGGGAUCUGUUGUGGGUUAAGUGUCUGAAAUGAAAGUGGCAAUAGCUUCUAACUUUUUUUUUUUUUUAAUCUUUUUACCUUUUCUAGGGCUGCUCCUGUGGCACAUGGAGCAAAAAGACAAAAAUAAAUAAAUAAAUAAAUAAAUAAAAUGCAAACAUGAUGCCACUUCUAUGCUUAAUCUCCUUGGCUCUUCAUUGCCCACAGGAUCAAUUCAAAAUCCUUAGCGUGGCAAUAAAGGGUUUUUGAAGCCUAGCCCCUAGCCUCAUCUCCAUUCCAAUGCUGCCCAAUAUUUACUGAAUAUAUCAGACUUUGUGAAACACUGAUAAGCACUCUUGCCUUGAGACACUCAGAGUCUAGUAAAAGAUGUGUAUUAGUAUGAUCACCUCUCAGUAACUUGUAAUAAUAGCCAGGGUGACUGUAAGUCCUGGUUUUUGCCUAUUGUCCUAGAGUAGUUAUUAAUAUAGCACCAGUGGUCUUUUUCAGUCUCAAAAGCUUCUCAGUUUGGACAGUAAGUAUAGGUCACUCUAAUAAUAGCCUACCUCUGUUGUCUCAGUUAACUGAAGAAAUUCUCUGAAGGACUGAAUCUGUUAAGGUUGAGAUGGUACAUUCCUAUUGGGUAAUUUGAGCAGAGUUUAAUAAAAAGACAAUUGGCGAAGGUAUGGGCAAAAUGAAGAGAAACCCCAAGGGGUUUACCCUAGGUUACUGUAGAAUAACCUCAGGAGCUGUGACCUUCAGAUGUAGUCAUGUCAUGGCAAGGGGCCUGAGGAAAUAAAUUCCCAGACUCCUUUGGUGUGGUGCGGUUGCUCCCCAUUGCCUGAAUCCAAUGGACUGAACCUAAGGGGAAGAGAGCCCUUUCAUUUCAGGCUCUCCUGGGGGCAGGAACAUGGAUAUCUUUCACCAGGACUCACUGUUUCUACCCUAUUUUGCAACAGGAAAAAAUGAGAUGAAGAAAGGCGAACAUGCUUGAUGUUGCAAAGCUGAUAAGUGAUCAUCUGGAGCGAAGUGCUGCGUUCUCCCCACUCUACUAGGCUCCCUCUAAGGCUCCUACAUACUAGCGAUGCCCAGGUACCAAUCCUUCCCAUAGCAUCAUCACCCUUGAAACCAUGCAGUCCUGGCUCCUUCUGUUCCCUGGUUUGGAAUGUCUUCCUUGCUCUCCCUGCCUCCUCCACCUCUUUGAUGAAGCCUUUCCUGUUCUUUCAGGCAAAGUGAAGAGCUCCUUCUACUGUACUUUCAAAUCCCCUAAUUCAUAGAGCUUUUCUAGGAUUUGGCUUAUCAGAGUUGUUUUCACAUCUGUCUUCCAGCAGACUGUACUGGUUACGAGUCAGAGAGGCAUCCUUAUUUAAACAUAUUUUAACUCCUAGCACACUGUUGGACAUGAUUUAAAAGGUAAUCUAAUCCCUUAGCUCCUCUAUUAGGGAGGAACUAUUACUAAACAGGUCUUGAGAAAAGUGAAGCACUGAAAGGUUAAGUAAUUUGCCCAAGGUCGCGCAGAUAUGAAGAGGUGAAGCCAGGAGUCUGAAUCUAGGCAGUGGGGUUGUAGAAUGAUAUUUGAAUAACUUCAAAAUGAGAACUGAUAUUCUGAAAUGGCCUUUCUUCAUUGAAAGUUAAUGCCUAUCUGCCCCAAAAAAACGGGGGGGGGGGAUUUAAGAUAUUGCUCCUAGUCAAUGAAAACAUUUAGGCAGAAGCUGGAUAAACUGAUGAUAUCAUCCUAAAAGGGUUUCCUCAAACAGAUGAGAUGGUGGAAUAAGUGACUUGAAGCUUCGGUGAUGAGAAUAAACUAACCUACCAACAAGGGAGUUCACAUUCUUAUAAACGAAUCAGCUCUUUUCCACAUCAGCACUUGCAAACAAAGAAAGUAAAUAAAAUUAAAAGCAAUUCAUUGAAUCCUGCAGUCUGGUUUGUUCAAUAUAACACCAAAUGGGGAGCUGGUUUACAAUUGCCCUUACAUCUGGUUGGCAGACAGUGGAGCUGUCUUCUCAUGAGGUUUACUUAAGACCUCUUGUCCAUGGGCAGUGCUGCUGCCUAGUCCUCGGUCUGGGGGAAGGAACAAAAUGGCCAUAUACAGACAGCUCAGAUCCAAGUAUUUCUUCCCCAUCCCUUUGCAUAGCACCCGUGCAUGUGGUAAUACUAGCUCGACGAGAGCCGGGUGCUGAAGCUAAGCUUGACAUAAAAUGGUGGUCCCUGUCUUCAAAAGAUUGGAAGUUUAGGGGUAGAAAUUGGUCAAGACUGGAGGUUAGUGCUCUGCAAGUCAGGGCUCGCCCUCACACUGGAGUGGUCCCUAUUCAGAGCUCCUCAUCUCUCUUUCACUGUGAGUGCUUUCACCGUAUUCUCAUUCCUGGCGGUCUCACCAGCGUCCUGUGGGUGGAGUUCAGUCUGGGUGGCUUUGAACCCUCGACCCCUUCCGGGGCAACCCUGCGUCUACCUCGCAGCAGCGGAAUGCACUCCCAGAGCCCACUCACCCUUAGCCAAAGGCGGCGCAGCGCGUUUGAAUCCUCUGGCCCAUCGCGGGCAGAGAGAGCAGCAGCGGCAGACACAAGGCCCCGAGCAACCUGAGCGCUCUCAAGUCAGACUCUGCGGCGCCCCAGUCUAAAAAGGUGGUUUGUCUUUCACCUAAUUCAAUAGGCCUGGGUUUUCCCCAAGGGCGAAAUCCGGUGGCCUGAUAACAGCCCGUCUUUGCCUCACCACUCUUUGGAUCCGACUGGUUCCCUGCCCCCGACCGGUCGCUAUCCUCAAUCCCCUUGUUGUCUUGCCCGCCAUCCCUGCUCCUGGGCCCCAGGAAUCUCCACCCCGCAGGCACCAGGACCCUACCCUGCCAUUCUGCCCGCAACAUAGACAAGCAGCGACGCCCCAACAGCGGCUAAAAAAAUAUCCUACCCCACCGAGGAGCAGCUUCCCAGUCCCACGCGCUUAGAGUCGCACCCCUAGACUCUAGGGUCACCCGCCUGGCGCCGUCGCAGCGCCCCCCCAGCAGCUGCCCAGCGCGCCUGCCUCCAGGAGGUCGGGUCAGUCUCCAGUGAUCAAAAAAAGGUCGGCUGAGCUCUCCCGUGUGCCCAGCUCUCUCAUUACACCCCGGGGAGGCCUCGGCCCCCACGCUCUAGGGCAGUCAACAGCUGCUCCAAUUCUCCAGCGGGGGCGUCCUUUUCUUCCUCUCCAGCUGGCGGUGGUUAGUCGUCCUCAGCAGCAACUACUACGGCCUCUUCCUCGCCGCCCGCAGUCACCUACCCGGCCGCAUGCCACAGUGACAGCUUCCAGCUGCCUGCCUUUUACUGUCUCCCUAAGGAAGACUAGAAUUGUUGAGAGGGCACCUCUACGCCCAGCCCCACCUUGGCCGCCCGCCGCUCUCCCCAGUGGCCCGCACCCUUUCCAAGCCGGUUCCUCCGGGUGGGGCGUGCAUGCCCGGGGCUAACUUUCCACUGUCCCGGGAGACCUGCCUCGCGCCAGUGUUCGGUCCC